rnacentral:rRNA from 1 species
CCUACGGGCGGCAGCAGUGAGGAAUAUUGGUCAAUGGGCGCGAGCCUGAACCAGCCAAGUAGCGUGAAGGAUGACUGCCCUAUGGGUUGUAAACUUCUUUUAUAAAGGAAUAAAGUGAGGAACGUGUGCCUUUUUGUAUGUACUUUAUGAAUAAGGAUCGGCUAACUCCGUGCCAGCAGCCGCGGUAAUACGGAGGAUCCGAGCGUUAUCCGGAUUUAUUGGGUUUAAAGGGAGCGUAGAUGGGUUGUUAAGUCAGUGGUGAAAGUUUGCGGCUCAACCGUAAAAUUGCCGUUGAUACUGGUUGACUUGAGUACAGUUGAGGUAGGCGGAAUGCGUGGUGUAGCGGUGAAAUGCUUAGAUAUCACGAAGAACUCCGAUUGCGAAGGCAGCUUACUAAACUACCACUGACACUGAUGCACGAAAGUGUGGGUAUCAAACAGGAUUAGAUACCCGUGUAGUC